CAAAACAAAAACAAAAACCAAUAAUUUAGAAAUUAAUGCAGUUUAUAAACAUCAGCAUUUUAAAAAUAAACUUAAGACUUAUCUCAAAUUUGUGGUUAAUACUAAAAGUCCAUGAAUAGCUAAGUUAAUUUUUAAAAAGAAGAGAAAAUGAAAGAGAAUUUCUUAGCAGAUAUGAAGAUAUACUACAAAACCAUGGAAACAAAAACAGUACUAUCACAGGAACAUUCAACUAUCACAAUGAAAUGGAACAGGAAAUUCAGAAGCAGAUCCAUAUAUAUCUAGGAAUUGAUAUAUGAUAGAGGUGGCAAGACAAGUCGGUGGCUCAAGGACAGAUUGUUAAGAAGUUGAUAUUGGGAAAUAGACUCAUAUUAAGGAGAAAAAUAAAGUGAGAUCUUCAUCUUAUUCCAUAAGCAAGGAGAGGAUCUUUCAUUUAUUUCUUUUAUUUUUCAGACAGGGUUUCAUUCUGUCACCCAGACUGGAGUGCAGUGGCACGAUCACGGCUCACUGUAGUCUCCACCUUCAGGUUCAAGCGACCCUCUCACCUCAGCUUCCUGAGUAGCUGGGACCAAGGCAUACGCCACCAUGUCUGGCUAAUUUUUGUAUUUUUUAGUAGAGAUGAUGUCUCACUCUGUUUUCCAGGCUGGUCAAGGGAGGAACUUUUAGAUAAUUAGAGACUUCAAUGUGAAACAUACAGCUACAAUCUAAUGAAAAAAAUAGGAGAAUUUUUGAAUGGGAUUAAUACCUAGAAUAUACAAAGUACUCCUGCAAACCAACAAGAAAAAGACCCCACAUAUAGGAACCAUCGGAUCCCUGUGUACAGAUGAAGAACUGAGUCUUGGAAAGCUUAACUACCUUGCUCACAGUCACACGUUAAGGUCUAAAGUGAGAAAUUAAACCAAGUCUUCCAAUCUCAAAGACUUUAAAGGAAAAGCUACAAGCUACAAGGGAGAAGAAAAAUGAUAUAGUUCAGUGACUUGGAUCUACAUAAAGAAAGGAAGAGUGACAGAGAAGGAAUAGAUGAAGAAUAAAGAAGUUCUUCAUGUAUAUUUAUGGGAAAAUUGCUAAGGUGUAGUCUCAAGUCCUAAAAAAGCAAAGUUCAGGAAGUGGACUCCCUGAAGAAACAGGAAAGAGCACAGGAGAUGAGGAACAAACACAGCCAAUGGUGAGGCCCUCAGCAGGGAGCAAGGAGGGGGUGCUGUUGUUAAUAAAAAAAGAAGAAAGAAGAUUUUCAUCUAAAAUGAGAAAAGAGGAGAGAAAACAGCUGCAUUUAUGCAAGAUGCUCCCCACUAGAUCAUCACUAAAAUGAAAGUAAAGGAAUGAAAGAGGAGAGGUAGGAGAGGAAAAAACAAUCUGUGAGAAAUAACAACAUAUAUCAGAAGCUGGAAAGUGCAUGGAGUAGAGCUCAGUGACACAACAGAGCAGAAAAAGCAGAAGCAGAGAGGAAUGAGCGUACAAAGCAAGUCUGAAUUUACCCUGGAGAACCCCACAAAGGCUUGAAACUUGGAAACAUCAUGAACUGCUGGGCCAGAGGUGAGGAUCCAGAUGAAAAUCAAAAGAAUUAACUGAAAGUCUGAACUAGAACAGUAAGACUUCUGGAUGUCUCCACCUCUCGCUGCCCAAAGACAGCUCCUUUCCUCUCCUCCACAGAGACCAGAGGUUUAGUCUCAAACACUGAGGGUACCAGUGAGAAGGGAGUGGAGGAGUGAGGCAUCAGGUUGAAAUCAGAGUGGUUAGGGGAGAGUCUAGACUGAAUAGUCAGACACUGCCUACCUGCUUCAGUUCCUGACUUGUGUCUAGAACUUCAUUAGCCAGGGGUAUUCCAUCCUUUGUCCACUAACACACACAGGAGAUCAGAAAAUUCUUCUAUGGAGAAAUGGAAUUGCAGAAAACUGCUACAGAUAUUGGCAUCCUGACCAUGUACUGGCCUCCCCAAUUAAAAACCCAAUUUGGCUGGGCACAGUGGCUCACGCCUAUAACCCCAACACUUUGGGAAGCCGAGGCAGGCGGAUCACCUGAGGUCAGGAGUUUGAAACCAGCCUGGUCAACAUGGUGAAACCCUGUCUCUACUAAAAAUACAAAAAUUAGCCAGGGGUGGUGGUGCACACCUGUAAUCCUAGCUACUCGGGAGGCUGAGGCAGGAGAAUCACUUGAAACUGGGAGACGGAGGUUGCAGUGAGCUGAGAUCGGCCAUUGCACUCCAGCCUGGGAAACAGAGUGAGACUCUUGUCUCAAAAUAAAUAAAUAAAUAAAUAAAUAAAUAGAAAGGAAAAACCCAAUUUGCCUCCAAACUACCCUGCAGUGAGGCUUUCUACUCUUAUUUUAGUGACCCAUUCUCAAAUAUGAAGUAUCACUAGAUACCUGAGAAAUGAGUGAAAAACACCAGAUAAAAAGGAACUCAGAAGAAACAAAGGCAAUAGAGAAAGCAAAAAAAAUUUAAACUUUUUCUGUUAAUACCUUUAGAUACAUAAGGCAAGAUCUUGAGUGUAUGAAAAAGAAUAAGAUUACAUAACAAGGAGUAAUAAGGAAAAAAAACACUUUUCAAUUUUAAAAAUAUAAUAAAUGAAAUGAAAAAUUAAUGAGAAAGAUUGGUAGAAAUAUCAAGAAAACCUUUCAGAAACUAGAGUAAAAAUCAAAUAGGUGAACAUUAGGAUAGAAAAAUAAGAAAAAUUAGAAAACUAAUCUAGGGAGUCUAAUAUCUAGCUAACAGGGACUUUGGAAAGAAUAAAGAGAAUAAUAUUGAGAGAAAAUUUUCAAAGAAAUAAUACAGAGAAAUUCCUCAGAACAGUAACACAUUACUUUUCAGGUUGAGAGGGCCUACCCAAUCCCCAAAACAGUGAAUAAAAAUAGAUUUACAGAAAUUUUAGACUACCAGUGAAAAUAAGAACCAAAGAUUUCACAUAAAAAUACAAGUCAGUACAAGGAAACUAGAUUAAGGAUGGCAUUAGAAAAUAGAAUAAAUACGCUAUAUGCCAGAAAACAAAGAAAAAUGUCUUUAAAAUUUUGAGUGAAAAUUAUUUUCAACAUAUAAUUCUCUAAUAAGUCACCUUUCAAUUAAGCCCGAGUGUAAAAUAAAGCCAUUUUCAGAUAGAAAAGAACUUAGCAUUUUUAAUCUCCUACAUAUUCAUUUUUAGGAAGCUUUUGGAAGAUAUAUUUCAGCAAAACAAGGGAAUAAGCUAAGACAUAGAAGUAGAAAAAUCCAGAAUCCAGGGAACAGGAAAGCCAACAGAGAGGCAGUGAAGGAAAGUUCCAGAUUGCGACCACAGAGCAGUCCUAGAGAGUCAUCCAGUCUAUGUUCGCAUUUUCAGCCACAGCAUGGGAAGUGGGAAGCCAGGCAGAGCUCAGUAGAUUCUAGGAGCUGAAGAAACAGAGCUGGGAGGCUGGAGAAGCCAAGACAGAUAAUAAAAUUCACAGGGUAGAGUACCAAAGAGAAACGUGUUGCAGAGAGAACUCCAGAGAUUUACAGAGGAUCUUUCUCAAGUAUAUAGAUGAGUACUGAUGCAUCUCUGUAAUACAAUGCAUGCCUAUGAGGAAACUGUUCAAGAUCAGAGGAAGAACCACCUCAAAGGAUUAGAGGGAACAGUAUUCAGAACUUAUGCAGGGCUGGAAAUAGUGUCUGUGCCCAACAGCCGAGGUGGAAAACCUUGUAAUUCACAAGACAUUCAUGAAUAAUGGUCUUGCCUCAGUAGUGGAGAGCAACUAAACCUACCUAGCACCCAAUCAAAAAUUAUCAAGCAUACAAAAAAGCAAGAAAAGAUUACCUUAAUUAGGAAAAACAUCUGUCAAUUGAAACUGACCCAGAAAUAACACAGAUGAUAGAAUUAAUAGACAAAACACUAAAAGUUAUUACAUCUGUAUUCCAUAUAUUUAAUAAGUUAGCGGAAAGACUGAACACGUUAAGUAGAGACCUAGAAGAGAUUUUAAAAAGACUCCAAUAAAAAUUCUAGAGAUGAAAAUUACAUCUAAGAUGAAAAGUACACCGAAUAGGAUUAACAGCACAUUAAACAUUGUACAAAUCUUACUGAAACAUUACUUUGAUUAUGGAGUAGCUACAAAGUAUUUUUAAAGUUCUAAAGGAAGCAGUGCUCUUAUCUUAAUUCUCAUUUAUAAUCAACGCUGGACUUUCCUAUGGACAGUACCUGUGAGUUAAUUAAGAAAUCACCUGGCAUUGAUGUUGAGAAACCUGGCAUGUCCUUCAUCAAAAUAGAUUCUUUUCAAGCCAUAGAGGGUAAGUGCUGCCUGUUUAAUGAUACUGAGUGGUUGACUCCUUAGCUUGUCAUGACUACAUCCCUUUCCCAAACACAUACAUGCCAUGUUUUUAACCUCUUGUGCUAUAAAUAAGAGUCUAAUGGGAAAAGCCCAGGAUUUUGAGGCCUGGUUUACCAUAUUGUUCAAUCAAUCUUGAAUGUGUUCUAGGCAUGCUGUGAGGUGCCAGUGACUCAGUGAUAUAUAAGACACAGCACCUGUCUUUAUAAUGCUCAAAAUUUAAUGGCAAGAGACAGAUGAGGAAAUGUGCAAUUAUGAUACAGCAUGAUAUGGUUAUGAUGGGAAGGAACUGGGUAUUAAUGAAAGCAUACACAAUGGUAUUUAAAUUUGGAAGCUAGAGAAGUUUUGGCGGAAAUGAGGUCUUUUAUGAACCUCAAAAUAUGAGCAGGAGUUUAUCCAGUGAAGAGUUGGAACAUAGGUCAAGCAAAGGCCCAGAGCCAAGAAAAGGUAAGGUAUAUUUCAGAAACUGCAAGCAACUCAGCAUGGUUAGAAAGCUUGAGGACUGGUCUUGGUGAGAGAGAAGGCUGGGGAGGCUUGAUUUGGAUGUUGUCCCAAGGGAAAAAAAGGAAUGGAAGGAAUUUAUAAUGUUAUCACAUUUACUUUAAAGAAUGUUGACUCAGAAUAAGAUGUCAGAGUUGAAGAGAAGGCAGAUGCAAUAAUCCCAGUGAGAUGAAUGUUAAAUGGCAUGAGGCAAAGGCUGCCAGGAUGGAGAGAAAUGGAUACUUUCAAGAGAAAUGUAGGAGCUCAAUUCAACAAAAUGUCCUCAGUUAAUGAUAGGGCGCAUGAAAGAACGAGAAGCCUUAGGUCAUUUUUGGCUUGAGUAACUGUAAGCCCCCAUCCCUGAGUCACUCUAACAAGCUUUCUUUCCUGAAUGCCCACCUGACUGCUGGCUGCUACUUGUAAAGUCCCCUAGUCCCUGUGUGGGCUAGUGUCUGUUUGAAUUCACAUUCUUGGAGCUCACCUCAAUCCCCAGUGUUACCUGGCAACAACUGUGCAUUUUUUGAGUCAGCUCUCAUUCUACUUCUCUGGAGUGCUUCAAACCUCCCACCCUCCUUAAAACUCCCAUCCAAUCACUCAUCAUUCCCUUUUCAGUCCACAGACUUGCCUUCUAUUUCACUAAAAACAAUCAAAGCCAACCAAACCAAAUGAUGCUUGUUACCCUCUCACCCCCUAUAUACUAACUUAUCUUUACAGCUUUCCCUUGACAUGCAGAGAAAAAUGUGCCCUAUGCACUGUCAGCAUAAUUUCUCUGCCUGUGCACUAGAUCACCUCCCUUUUCAUUUCUUCAGUCACCUGGCUUUGGGGCUGUAUCAAUUAUCUCCUCCCUCUGUACUUCCCCUACUCUUCAGUUUCCUUCCCACCAACAUCUAAAUAUUCCCAAACCUCUGCCAUCUUGGAAAGUCCUCCCUUGAGUCUUUCAGGCUUGCGUGGCUCUUUCUUUUCUGUUCUAGUUUGCCUAAGACCUAGCCACCCUUUCUCUCACCAUGUCUGACUUUCCCAUUGAUUCCUCAGCCUUCAGAGGCCACCUGUGGGCUAAACCUAGUGCAUUUCUUUUUAGCUUUGAUGUUACUUUUCUUAUUUCAGCAGCACUUAACGUGAUUGAAACCAUCGGACACAUUCUUCAAAUUCUUUCUUCCCCUCACUGGUCCUUCCAUUCCCUUUUGCCUAUUCCUCUCCCUUUGCUGGAAUGUAAUAAAUUCAUAUUACCUGCAGUUUUAUAUUCAGGUCAUUUUAUUUUCUACUUAAAGGAUUUUAACCAAUAUUUGGCUUUCUAUUUUUUACAUAAUAAAUGUGUGAAUAUAUCUCUUUAUAAACCAUUCAUUGUUUUUGGAUAAAGCCAAAGUUCCCCUAAAAUACCACCCUUCAUCCCUUUCUAUAUUGCAGAGGUAACUGUGUUUAUCUUUUGGUGAAGUUCACUCCUGAGUUUGUUAUCUCAGCCUUUACAUACACACCUAUGAGGGGUCUUCAAAAUGUUCAUAGAAAAUGCAUAUUAUGAACAAACUAUGCAUGGUUUUCACUUUUUUUUGCACCAAAAUAAACUCAUACUAAUGUGUUAUACUGUGUCUGAACAGAAUCUAGUUUAAGGCACUAAGAAGGACAAUAUAUCAGUUUGAAAAGAAUCCUUAUCAGAACAACAUGAAUUCUGCUAAAAUUGAAGCAAGAACAAACAUCAAAUUUAUGGUGAAACUAGGGUGGAAAAUUGAUAAAAAUCAUUGAUGCUUUAUGAAAAUUUAUGAGGAUAAUGCCCCAUAUUAUUCAGCAGUUUACAAAUGAAUAAUUUGUCUUAACAAGGAAUAAAUCCAGUGUUGAAGAUGAAGCCCGCAGUAGCAGGCCAUUCACAUCAACUUGCAAGGAAAAAAUUCACCUUGUUUGUGCUUUAAUUGAAGAGGACUGAUGAUUAACAGCAGAAACAAGAGCCAACAUCACAGACAUCUCAAAUGGUUCAGCUUACACAAUUCUGAAUGAAAAAUUAAAGUUUAACAAACUUUCCACUUGUUGAGUUCCAAAACCAUUGUGUCCACCAAAUCAUCUGCAGACAAAAAAAAGUUUUCAAUGAAAAUUUUAAACAAGUAGGAUCAAGAUCCUGAAGCAUUUUUUAAGAAGAAUUGUAACAGAAAAUGAAACAAUGCUUACCAAUAUUAUCCUGAAGACAAGACAUAAUCAGAGCAAUGGUUACUAAGACAUAGAAGUGGCCCAGUCAAAGCAAAAGGGAACCAGCCAAGAGCAGAGGUCAUGGUAACAAUUUUGGGGGAUUGUCAAGGCAUUUUGCUUGCUGAUUUUUCUGGAAGGCCAAUAAAUGAUAACAUCUGCUUAUUA